UUUCAUAUUUUUUUAUGCCCCCGCCAUGUAAUGGCCGGGGCAUAUAGUGUUACCCUGUUCCGUCAUUCCGUCCUUCCGUCCUUCCAUCCUUCCGUCAUUCUGUCAUUCCGUCAUCAUCAGUUUCCGUUCAUUAUCUUAAGAACGGUUGCACACAUUCAACUCAAAUUUGACAUAUGGAUAUGUCAUGAGAAAAUACAGGUCAAGUUCGAAUUUGGUCAUGGUUCGAUGAUUUUUGGCAGAGUUAUGCCCCUUUUACUUUGAAAAUAAUAUGAAAUUUCAGUUUCCGUUCAUUAUCUCCCCAACGGUACAACACAUUCAACUCAAACUUGACAUAUGGAUAUGUCAUGAGAAAAUACAGAUCAAGUUCGAAUUUGGUCAUGGUUCCAUGAUUUUUGGCAGAGUUAUGCCCCUUUUACUUUGAAAAUAAUAUGAAAUUUUCAGUUUCCGUUCAUUAUCUCCCCAAAGGUACAACACAUUUAACUCAAAUUUGACAUAUGGAUAUGUCUUGAGAAAAUACAGGUUAAAUUUGAAUUUGGUCAUGGUUCGAUGAUUUUUGGCAGAGUUAUGCCCCUUUUACUUUGAAAAUAAUAUGAAAUUUUCAGUUUCCGUUCAUUAUCUCCCCAAAGGUACAACACAUUCAACUCAAACUUGACAUAUGGAUAUGUCAUAAAAAAGAUACAGGUCAAGUUUGAAUUUGGUCAUGGUUCGAUGAUUUUUGGCAGAGUUAUGCCCCUUUUACUUUGAAAACAAUAUGAAAUUUUCAGUUUCCGUUCAUUAUCUCCCCAAAAGUACAACACAUUCAACUCAAACUUGACAUAUGGAUGCGUCAAAUGAAUGCGCAGGUCAAGUUCAAAUUUGGUCAUGGUUCAAUGAUUUUUGGCAGAGUAAUGCCCCUUUCACUUUGAAAGUAAUAUGAAAUUUUCAGUUUCCGUUUAUUAUCUCCCCAAUGGUACAACACAUUCAACUCAAAUUUGACAUAUGGAUAUGUUUUUGGAAUGCCCAGGCCAAGUUCGAAUUUGGACAUGGUUCAAUAAUUUUUGGCAGAGUAAUGCCCCUUUCACUUUGAAAAUAAUAUGAAAUUUACAGUUUCUGUUCAUUAUCUACCCAACAGUGUUACAUAUUCAACUUAAAUUUGACAUAUGGAUAUGUCAAAGGAAUGGGCAGGUCAAGUUGGAAUUUUGUCAUGGUUUGAUGAUUUUUUGGCAGAGUUAUGUCCCUUUCACUUUGAAAAUAAUAUAGAUACAUCUUAGGAAUAAGCAGUUUAAGUUAGAAUUUGGUCGUGGUUCAAUGAUUUUAGACAAACUUAUCUU